rnacentral:rRNA from 1 species
GCUUAACACAUGCAAGUCGAGGGGCAGCGGGAUUGAAGCUUGCUUCAAUUGCCGGCGACCGGCGCACGGGUGAGUAACGCGUAUCCAACCUUCCGUACACUCAGGGAUAGCCUUUCGAAAGAAAGAUUAAUACCUGAUGGUAUCUUAAGCACACAUGUAAUUAAGAUUAAAGAUUUAUCGGUGUACGAUGGGGAUGCGUUCCAUUAGGUAGUAGGCGGGGUAACGGCCCACCUAGCCAACGAUGGAUAGGGGUUCUGAGAGGAAGGUCCCCCACAUUGGAACUGAGACACGGUCCAAACUCCUACGGGAGGCAGCAGUGAGGAAUAUUGGUCAAUGGACGAGAGUCUGAACCAGCCAAGUAGCGUGAAGGAUGAAGGUCCUACGGAUUGUAAACUUCUUUUAUAAGGGAAUAAACCCCCCCACGUGUGGGAGCUUGUAUGUACCUUAUGAAUAAGCAUCGGCUAACUCCGUGCCAGCAGCCGCGGUAAUACGGAGGAUGCGAGCGUUAUCCGGAUUUAUUGGGUUUAAAGGGAGCGCAG